rnacentral:rRNA from 1 species
GCUGGACGUCGAUCGGCGGACGGGUGAGUAACGGCUGGGAACCUGCCCUGACGAGGGGGAUAACCGUUGGAAACGACGGCUAAUACCGCAUAAUGUCUACGGACCAAACGUGGCCUCUACAUAUAAGCUAUCGCGUUGGGAUGUACCCAGUUAGGAUUAGCUAGUUGGUAAGGUAAUGGCUUACCAAGGCGACGAUCCUUAACUGGCUUGAGAGGAUGAUCAGCCACACUGGGACUGAUACACCGGCCAGACUCCUACGGGAGGCAGCAGUGGGGAAUAUUUGCCCAAUGGGGGAAACCCUUGAUGCAGCCAUGCCGCGUGUGUGAAGAAGGCUUUCGGGUUGUAAAGCACUUUCAGCAGUGAGGAAGGUGGUGUACUUAAUACGUGCAUUGCUUGACGUUAGCUGCAGAAGAAGCACCGGCUAACUCCGUGCCAGCAGCCGCGGUAAUACGGAGGGUGCGAGCGUUAAUUGGAAUUACUGGGCGUAAAGCGCAUGCAGGCGGUUUGUUAAGUCAGAUGUGAAAGCCCGGGGCUCAACCUCGGAACCGCAUUUGAAACUGGCAGGCUAGAGUCUUGUAGAGGGGGGUAGAAUUUCAGGUGUAGCGGUGAAAUGCGUAGAGAUCUGAAGGAAUACCAGUGGCGAAGGCGGCCCCCUGGACAAAGACUGACGCUCAGAUGCGAAAGCGUGGGUAGCAAACAGGAUUAGAUACCCUGGUAGUUCACGCCGUAAACGCUGUCUACUUGGAGGUUGAGGUUUAAGACUUUGGCUUUCGGCGCUAACGCAUUAAGUAGACCGCCUGGGGAGUACGGCCGCAAGGUUAAAACUCAAAUGAAUUGACGGGGGCCCGCACAAGCGGUGGAGCAUGUGGUUUAAUUCGAUGCAACGCGAAGAACCUUACCUACUCUUGACAUCCAGAGAACCUUCCAGAGAUAGAUUAGUGCCUUCGGGAACUCUGAGACAGGUGCUGCAUGGCUGUCGUCAGCUCGUGUUGUGAAAUGUUGGGUUAAGUCCCGCAACGAGCGCAACCCUUAUCCUUGUUUGCCAGCACGUAAUGGUGGGAACUCCAGGGAGACUGCCGGUGAUAAACCGGAGGAAGGUGGGGACGACGUCAAGUCAUCAUGGCCCUUACGAGUAGGGCUACACACGUGCUACAAUGGCAGAUACAGAGGGCAGCGAAGCUGCGAAGUGGAGCGAAUCCCUUAAAGUCUGUCGUAGUCCGGAUUGGAGUCUGCAACUCGACUCCAUGAAGUCGGAAUCGCUAGUAAUCGUGGAUCAGAAUGCC